UAACGUGAUGAAAACUUUUCAACACAGACCUGUACUGAACUCUAACGAGUUUUGCAGAGAACACGAUUAUUGCCUUUUUACAUCUGAUA
rnacentral:snoRNA from 1 species